AUUGAACGCUGGCGGCAUGCCUUACACAUGCAAGUCGAACGGCAGCACGGGGGGUAACCCCUGGUGGCGAGUGGCGAACGGGUGAGUAAUAUAUCGGAACGUGUCCUGUAGCGGGGGAUAACCUAUCGAAAGAUGGACUAAUACCGCAUACGACCUACGGGUGAAAGCGGAGGACCGCAAGGCUUCGCACUAUAGGAGCGGCCGAUAUCGGAUUAGCUAGUUGGCGGGGUAACGGCCCACCAAGGCGACGAUCCGUAGCUGGUCUGAGAGGACGAUCAGCCACACUGGAACUGAGACACGGUCCAGGCUCCUACGGGAGGCAGCAGUGGGGAAUUUUGGACAAUGGGCGCAAGCCUGAUCCAGCCAUGCCGCGUGAGUGAAGAAGGCCUUCGGGUUGUAAAGCUCUUUCGGCGGGGACGAAACGGUUCGUGCUAAUACCACGGACUACUGACGGUACCCGCAGAAGAAGCACCGGCUAACUACGUG
rnacentral:rRNA from 1 species